rnacentral:misc_RNA from 1 species
GAUGAAGAACGUAGCGAAAUGCGAUAAGUAAUGUGUAUUGCAGAAUUCAGUGAAUCAUCGAAUCUUUGAACGCAUCUUGCGCUCCUUGGUAUUCUGAGGAGCAUGCCUGUUUGAGUGUCAUUAAAUUCUCAACUACACUGACUUUGAAUUGGUGUGGCUUGGAUUUGGGGGGAAAAUUGUUGUGGGCUUUUUGUAUAGUCUGCUCCCCUGAAAUUGAUUAGCGGUACCUUUGUGGAACUGUCUACAGGUGUGAUAAUUAUCUACAUCUUAGACAUCUGCUGGAAUGCUGCUUUCUAAACCUUACUUGUAUUGACAAUCUUGACCUCAAAUCAGGUAGGACUACCCGCUGAACUUAAGCAUAUCAAUAAGCGGAGGA